AGAGUUUGAUCAUGGCUCAGGACGAACGCUGGCGGCGUGCCUAAUACAUGCAAGUCGAACGCUUUUUCUUUCACCGGAGCUUGCUCCACCGAAAGAAAAAGAGUGGCGAACGGGUGAGUAACACGUGGGUAACCUGCCCAUCAGAAGGGGAUAACACUUGGAAACAGGUGCUAAUACCGUAUAACACUAUUUUCCGCAUGGAAGAAAGUUGAAAGGCGCUUUUGCGUCACUGAUGGAUGGACCCGCGGUGCAUUAGCUAGUUGGUGAGGUAACGGCUCACCAAGGCCACGAUGCAUAGCCGACCUGAGAGGGUGAUCGGCCACACUGGGACUGAGACACGGCCCAGACUCCUACGGGAGGCAGCAGUAGGGAAUCUUCGGCAAUGGACGAAAGUCUGACCGAGCAACGCCGCGUGAGUGAAGAAGGUUUUCGGAUCGUAAAACUCUGUUGUUAGAGAAGAACAAGGAUGAGAGUAGAACGUUCAUCCCUUGACGGUAUCUAACCAGAAAGCCACGGCUAACUACGUGCCAGCAGCCGCGGUAAUACGUAGGUGGCAAGCGUUGUCCGGAUUUAUUGGGCGUAAAGCGAGCGCAGGCGGUUUCUUAAGUCUGAUGUGAAAGCCCCCGGCUCAACCGGGGAGGGUCAUUGGAAACUGGGAGACUUGAGUGCAGAAGAGGAGAGUGGAAUUCCAUGUGUAGCGGUGAAAUGCGUAGAUAUAUGGAGGAACACCAGUGGCGAAGGCGGCUCUCUGGUCUGUAACUGACGCUGAGGCUCGAAAGCGUGGGGAGCGAACAGGAUUAGAUACCCUGGUAGUCCACGCCGUAAACGAUGAGUGCUAAGUGUUGGAGGGUUUCCGC
rnacentral:rRNA from 1 species